rnacentral:rRNA from 1 species
AUUGAACGCUGGCGGCAUGCCUUACACAUGCAAGUCGAACGGUAACAGGUCUUCGGAUGCUGACGAGUGGCGAACGGGUGAGUAAUACAUCGGAACGUGCCUAGUAGUGGGGGAUAACUACUCGAAAGAGUGGCUAAUACCGAAUGAGAUCUACGGAUGAAAGCAGGGGAUCGCAAGACCUUGUGCUAAUAGAGCGGACGAUGGCAGAUUAGGUAGUUGGUGGGAUAAAAGCUUACCAAGCCGACGAUCUGUAGCUGGUCUGAGAGGACGAUCAGCCACACUGGGACUGAGACACGGCCCAGACGCCUACGGGAGGCAGCAGUGGGGAAUUUUGGACAAUGGGCGAAAGCCUGAUCCAGCAAUGCCGCGUGCAGGAUGAAGGCCUUCGGGUUGUAAACUGCUUUUGUACGGAACGAAAAGCCCCGGGUUAAUACCCUGGGGUCAUGACGGUACCGUAAGAAUAAGCACCGGCUAACUACGUGCCAGCCGCCGCCGUAA